GACGAACGCUGGCGGCGUGCCUAACACAUGCAAGUCGAGCGAAUGAAGUUCCUUCGGGGAUGGAUUUAGCGGCGGACGGGUGAGUAACACGUGGGCAACCUGCCUCAUAGAGGGGAAUAGCCUUCCGAAAGGGAGAUUAAUACCGCAUAAGAUUGUAGUAUCGCAUGAUACAGCAAUUAAAGGAGCAAUCCGCUAUGAGAUGGGCCCGCGGCGCAUUAGCUAGUUGGUGAGGUAAUGGCUCACCAAGGCGACGAUGCGUAGCCGACCUGAGAGGGUGAUCGGCCACAUUGGGACUGAGACACGGCCCAGACUCCUACGGGAGGCAGCAGUGGGGAAUAUUGCACAAUGGGGGAAACCCUGAUGCAGCAACGCCGCGUGAGUGAUGACGGCCUUCGGGCUGUAAAGCUCUGUCUUCAGGGACGAUAAUGACGGUACCUGAGGAGGAAGCCACGGCUAACUACGUGCCAGCAGCCGCCGUAAUAC
rnacentral:rRNA from 1 species